rnacentral:rRNA from 1 species
AGAGUUUGAUCCUGGCUCAGAAUGAACGUUGGCGGCGUGCUUAACACAUGCAAGUCGAGCGAGAAAGUUCCUUCGGGAAUGAGUAAAGCGGCGAACGGGUGAGUAACACGUAAGAAUCUGCCCUGUAGUGAAGAAUACCCUUGAGAAAUUGAGGUUAAUACUGCAUAAGUCCCUUUGGGGAGAAAGACGUCUUUUAUGUCGUCGCUAUAGGAUGAGCUUGCGGACUAUCAGCUUGUUGGUGAGGUAAAGGCUCACCAAGGCUAUGACGGUUAACCGGCCUGAGAGGGUGUACGGUCACAUAGGCACUGAGAUACGGGCCUGACUCCUACGGGAGGCAGCAGUGGGGAAUAUUGCGCAAUGGGCGAAAGCCUGACGCAGCGACGCCGCGUGGAGGAUGAAGGUCUUAGGAUUGUAAACUCCUGUCAGAUGGAAAGAAAAGUUUAUAUUUAAUAGAUAUAGAAUAUGACGGUACCAUCAGAGGAAGCACCGGCUAACUUCGUGCCAGCAGCCGCGGUAAUACGAAGGGUGCAAACGUUAUUCGGAAUCACUGGGCGUAAAGGGUGCGUAGACGGUAUGUUAAGUUCGUUGUUAAAGGCUCCGGCCUAACCGGAGUAUUGCGAUGAAAACUGGCAAGCUAGAGGGUGAGAGAGAGAAGUGGAAUUCCCGGAGUAGCGGUAAAAUGCGUGGAUCUCGGGAGGAACACCAAUGGCGAAGGCAGCUUCUUGGCUCAUUCCUGACGUUGAUGCACGAAAGCGUGGGGAGCAAACAGGAUUAGAUACCCCCGUAGUCC